GAAUGAAAUCCCUGGGCAAUGGCUGAAGCAGUUCUGCCCAGAGACACCACUGCAGUUUUGCACUGCAGUAACAGCAAACAGUUGACUUGUGGGAAUGGUGCACGUGCUCCAUCUCUGCCUGGGAGUUGUUGGCCUUCACCUGGAACUGCUAAUGUGCAGUGAAGAGCAUGGCUGUGCAUUUGGGAGACCAAUUAUGGGAAAAGAACCACGUUCUGUACUGAAGAUGUGGAAGAGCCAUAGAUUUCAUAGUCAGAUAAUUAGGUUUACUUUGUUGUUCAUGUCUUUUUGAUAUGUAUUAUUUUUUCUUCUACUUUAUUUUUGCUAUUUUGACUCUUACUGCAUUUCCAUUUUAAUGGAACUUAAAAUCCUAAUGCCAACCUGUAAUUCCUGAUGGAUAAUUAUCAGGUUUGAAUCCUUAGUCUCCUAUGUGAAGCUAUGAAUUUUUUUCCAUAUGCAACAUUGCCUACGUUAUCAUUCAUCUGCCAUUCUGUUGCCCAGCCCCUCAAUAUUCAAUGGCUUCUUAGCAAUUCUUCCCAAUCUACCCUCAUUCAUAGCAUCUCAAGUAAUUUUUUAUCAGCAGUAAACUUUCUCACCUUUUGCCAGUUAUUUGUGAGCACACUGAAUAUCAGUAUAGAUCCCUGGGGAAAUUAGCUGAUGAUCUCUCUCCAUUGUGGAAGCUUACCUUUUUGUUUUUUGUCUUUUAAUGAGUUGCUUUUCCUUGAAAGGACUUUUCUUUCAUUCUAUGGCCAUGCAACUUCUGCAUACGUGUGAUUAAAAGGAGAAAAGUCAAAAUAUAUCAUCACCAGAGGCAAAAAUUCUGCAGAUCACAAAACUCCAGGCAAAGCCAAUCUGUGCUCGAAAGGUAAAUACAGCCACACAGGAGUCAUGAUUGAUGUCCUCCCAAAAGAAUCAUUUAAAUCCAGACAGCUAGGACAUGUUAUCCCAAAAUGUGUCACCAAUGCUCCAGACAGGGCAUUCACUGUGCCAGGGAAAGAAUUGCCAGGCAUCUGCAAAGAGGCAUAAAUACCUAGGCGUAAAGGAGGCUUGCUUACUUUAUUUCACUAAACCGUUUCUCUGCUUCCAUUCUCUAAUGAGCAUCGUAAACUCUUGCACCCCUGCUAAAAAACAAACAAUAAUGUUGCCUCCUCUUCUUUUGCCCAUAGGGUGUUUCCCCAUUACAUUCUGUCUCUUCCAGAAGCCAUUUGCCUCUUCCCCAGCUACAACUUCUCUACCUGCUCCAGCAGCUGCUUUCCUUUCAUGCUGACCUGGGAGGUUUCUUCAUCUGGGCAUUUUGGUAAUCCCGUUUGCCCCACCCUUUGCUUUCGUGCAGCUCUUGGUGAGCUGCAAAAUGCAGUGGGACGGUGGGGAGCAGCCUGGGGUUAACCUCUGCCAGGAGCUGAGGAAGGAGGAGCUUUGUGCACCGAUCUUGCUGAAGAAGAAAAUGAUUCUGAGGUGUAAACCUUUAGAGUAGUCAGAUCUAAACCAUAUACUGCUUAGAGUUUGUUAGUUGCCUGAGGAAAAUUUGGAGAUAUGAGCCAGACAAUUUUUUUUUCUUCAAGCUUUAUCAGGUGGUGAAAUGAGGAUAUUCUCUCUUUCUGAACAUUCUUUCCCCGUUGAACUGCUUCCCUUCUUACACUGGCAGAGCCAUGCAGUGUUCUUGCAGGUCUCUCAUUCCGGAGUUGAUGUCGGUAGAGGAGACUGUGGCUGUGCAUGCUGAUUUUGGCCAGCUUAGUGAGAUUCACAUGUGGUUGAGCCGAGAGCCGUGGUCAGGCUGUGUUACUCUUUCCUCAUGUAACUAUCAUCCUAGUUGUGGACACCAAGCGCUGCCAACUUUGACAAAGUCCUGUGGCUUUGCAAACAAGAGCAGCAUCUUCUAAUAGAAUACGUUGGGCAACUUUUACUGCAGGUAUCAAAAUAGCUCCCGAGAGCCACAAUAAUGGGGUCUUACAGCAAAAGUAGUUUAGUUACACAAAGUUCUUCAUGUCGGGACCACUGUUCUAUUCAACACAUCUGCAUUCAUAUCUCAGGUUUAGGAGUCCUGGAAGGCUAGCUAUGAAUUUCUUUUAUGAAAACCUUUGUGUUCUCUAAGUCAGCGCAUAUCCCCACUAUGUGUUGAGCUAUGUUGUGUUGGUAUCUCUGCUUAGAGGACCUGUUUGUUAAUUACUAUCUGAUCUAUUUAACUAACAGUAAAUGAGUCAGUAUUACAGGAUUGGGUUGGUUUUCUAUCAGAGCAAGUUGAUGGUUUAUAAAAAGACACAGUAAUGACGUGGAUGUUCAGGAAGUACCUACAGUAUCUUGUUGUUGUUUGUUUCCCCCCCCUUCCCACUCCCCCCCCCAAAAAAUGUGGUGGUGCCUGAACACAUAGAGUCAUUAAGGUUGGAAAAGACCUUUGAAGCUCAUCUAGUCUGACCAAUGGGUAUUGCUGAGAGCCAAAAGGAAACCUUCUAUAGGAUCUUUGCCUGGUGCUUUGAGUUUACUGAUUACUGCCAUGUGAAAUAUCAGUCCUCAUGUCAUCCCCUGCUCACUUGUGUCACACUGGAAGGACAGAGUCCUAUUUGGUCAGUCCCCACCUUAACCCUACUCUCAGGCUAGAAACUCAACUAUUGCACAGUGGUUCUUAAAAUCAGUUUGUCUUAAGAUGGAGCUGCGAAUUAUAGCUGUUUCAAUCCACAGCCUCCUUCAGUUGUUUAUUUUGUUGAGGGCAGCACUAAAGACCCCCCCAAAUAUUGAUUCUCUUCAGAGGAUGUACUGAACUGCCAAUAUGAGGGAGUGAUCUCUAACUGCGUGCAAGUGCUUUUACUGACUUGAGGCAUAUUUCUGCAGGUGCCACAUUUGGGGGAAAAAAAGGUCUUGAAUGAGACCCUAGAACAUGCUAAAUAUUGCAGAGAAGCAUCCCAAUGAAGUAUUUACAGAUUAAAAAAAUCCUGAUUCUGAAUUUACAAAACAUGAUUUCCUCCAUCUGUGCUCUGUGCUCAUCAUUUUGUUACAAACCAUUCCAUUCCUUCAUCACUAAUAGCUGUCUUUGAAUGCUGAAUUGGCUCAUUAGGCUCUUUUAUCCCAUGAAUGAAAUUCUUCCUCUGAGUCAAACAGGCACUCCUUUAUUUUUCCCAUUGGUUCUUAGUUAAAUAUAUCAGACUGCUUCUAAGUAAUCAAUAAAGCAGCAUGGAAAGACUUCUAAUCUUUGAACUGGUGUGGUGCAGGUCUUUUCAUUAUAAUGCCAAUGUUUCUUGAAGUCCUGUGUUGGAAUGGAAGCUGUUUGCCAUAGGUUUAAGCAUACAAUUACCCUGUUUGCUUUUGUCUGAAGGCUUCUUCCUUUCCUUGCAAGAGAGGAUAGCAAUUCUAAAAGCCUGACUUGGAUUGUGAUACAAUGUGGCAGUAUCUCUGCUAAUUAGCAGGGUCAUUUUUGUGUCAAACAGCUGUGUGAGUUCGCAAAGAACUGGGCUGCUUUGCUGAAUUAGUCUGUCAUUCAGUGGAGAAGUUGAAAGGAAUGCUCUGCCUUCUGCUUUGAUGCUAUAGCUCUUCCUGGUUGUUAAUACCAGUAUUAUGAUGAUACUGCCUGCUGUAAAUUCACUCCUUAAGUGAUCUGUUGAGCAGACUCUGUUUCUAAAUAUGGGUGUAAGUCACUUCCUUCUGUUUUACUGGCUUAAUAGACUAAGUAAAUGAAUACAGAUGUUUGAUUGCUCCCUGAAUGAGUGAGUGGAAAACCAUGAGUGAUUUUCUCAGCAUAUCAUCUUCCAGUAAAGUGAAUAUUUUUUGGGACCUGGACAUCUAGAUGUAGUGAUGAGGUUGCUGGUUAAAAUCCUGCCAAAGAUGAGUGAGAAAACUGUCCAAUGUACUGCUCACAACUUCAGGGAGGGAUGAGAGGGACUGAGGUUAUGAGUACAUCAAAACAUUGUUGCAAGGAAAGCUAAGGCCACUGUGUGGUAGUGGAGGGGAAAAGAUGUUCUUUCUGCUCCAGUAUGUAACUGAAAAAUUGUGAUCCUGAAACAUCAUGGCUCUGUUACCUUGCAUUGGUUUUGAUGUCAGGCUAAACCAGAGGCCAUGGUGCAAGCAUCACCAUCCAGAUGGCAGCUUUACUGAGAGUCAGUGGGAGCCAACUCUUCCUUUUUUUUUUUUCGGUAGCAGGUUGCAUUAAGUACAACAAUGUGGGAAAAGCAUGGGUGACAAUUUCUGAUGCAUUUGCCAUCUUGGGGUGUUUAGAUAAUGGUUUUGGUUAAACUAAUGCCUUGUGAGAUUGUGUGAAACGGAAAGAGAUGAAGGCAAAAUCCAAAUAAGAGCCAUUUGUUUGGUAGUACACAAGAGAUGUGUCUAUGAGCUGUCAUAUCAUGAUGCUUACCAUGAAAUCAGCCCAACACUAAUGCAGACAAGGCAGCGUGUUGCUAUGGCCAGCAGCAAGCUGAUGCCAGCACACUGUGCAUUGUAACCUGGCAUGAAAAAGCAGUUGUUUCAUGGGAGCACAUGGGUGAUUUAGAGGUUGAUAACAAAGUAGGGUAUUUGGACCUUCAGAUUUAAUUUCUGGAUGUGUUUCUGAUGUGGUUUGUGAUGCUUCACAAGUUACUUACUCUUUCUUCACUGAAGUCACAGAGAGAUUAGAAGAUUUGAGUGUUGUAGGGCAGUUUGAGAAGUUGCAUUGAAAGCCAAUUAUUCUUAUAAGAUUGUCCAGUGUUGUUCAUAGAGCAAGGCUACGAGACACUCCACAAUUCAUGUGAGUCUGAAGACAAAACUGUUCAGAAGUCCAUGACAGGUGAAAUGAUUGAUAAGAAAUGGCAGUCUGAACUAAUUCCAAUUUUGCUUCCAGUUUGGGAGCUUCUCCUCAGGAGAGCAAAACCUGACAUGUGCCACUCUGAAUCCUCAUGGAUGGCACAGUCUUAUUGCAUUUGUAGCUAUUGUUAUUAAGAGUCACACAAGGUAACAAAUGCUCCUUAAAUAUUUAGGAAGUUUGAUCUAGAUGAUUUUCAAGUAAUUUUAGUACUUGGUCCAAGAUUAACAGAUGUGGUCUCUACUGUUUUCCUCUGGAUACAUUUCAAAAUAACUUGCUUUCUCUGUAAGGUUGUGGCAAGCUGCAAAAAAAGUCUGGAUCAGACUUCACAGAAAUUCUGCAGCUGAUGGAAAAUUUGAAGCCAAGCAUCUCUGUGUUAUCAAUAGCGAAAACUGUUGCCGUAUUGGGUUAGCUGUGAUGUAACUCAGGAAGUGCUGUUAUCUGACCCAAGUACCUGCUAUCAUACAUUCUCUAGGCUUGGGGAAACAAUUGGUGUCCUUAGAUCUGGUGUUAUGCAACCUGACGGGGCCAGAGGCUGGGUGCAGCUCCUCAAAGCAGCACUUUCUGGUUCUUAAUGAAAAGCCCUUCCACUGGAGUGUUCUGCUUUUUCACACCCAGGACUGAUACUUGGAGUGUAAGUCAACAGCUGUUCAGCUGAAUUCAAACCACUUCAGUGUCUGCCAACAAGCCAGCAGUCAGCAUUAAUAUCCCAUAGACAAUGGAAACAAACCAGCCACUUGUUGAAGUGGGGGAGUCACUGUUGUGCAGCACAAAAUCAAAGGCCCACUGUAUGCAGAAGUGGUUUUUUUGAAAAUGCUGUGAAUACUUACUAGUCCAUAUGGCCUCAGUGUGCUGGACAUGUGGAACAAACACCACGUAAUUGAGGUCAAGUGAGUUCUUACGGCUGCUAUCCAGCACUAAGGCAAACCUUGGAGCUGGCUUACCUGCUGAGACGUACAACACAGCUGGGUGAGGUUAAGCAGAGGAGUGUUCAUGGGACACAGGGAAUAAAGUGCUGUCACUGAUAACCCAUUUUCAUGGUGGCUUUGUGGAAGCUUUGAUCUACUUAAAGUAGGGUAGCUAUGCUGCAGUCAAUUAAGCUACACCUGAAGAUAACCCAUAAAAUAGGGAUCAGUGUAUUUACUAUCUAUCUGCCUGACAGACAUGAGGAGAGAUAUUGUGCCACUUUUAAACAUGUGGAAUAUGUUUUGUAUGAAUUUUCAGUGUGAUAAUUUCUUCCUGUGUGUCCUUCUGUCGUGACCAUGUCUCUCCAUGACAAGCACCUACCCAUCGGUCUUAAAAAUAAAAGUUGCCCCUUGACAAUUGUGUUAUAAAUAUUAACUUCCUACCAGAUCUUGUGGCAGAGAACAUAGAGUAAUUUUGUGAGAGGUCAUUGCAGGGCAGAGAUUUCCUUCUUCGAAAAGGAAACAGGUGUUGAGUCCAAUGUCAAUCCAAAUAACCAUUCUAACAGCAUUCCCCAUGUGUUGAAUUUCUCUCUGCACAGCGGUGUGAGUUAGGACUCCAGGUUUUUUUCCUCAUAGCUGUCUCUACAGUGCUUAGAAGAAGCCAGGUGUGUAAGAAAGCCAGUGAAAAAGGUAACCUAUUCUUUAAGAGGGAGCUGCUUGUAGAUAGGUAGGUAGUGUCUCAUCAUACUGCCUGUUGAUAACCGCUACCAUGCUUAGGCUUUGCUGCCUUACUAUGCAGCACAUCUAGAAUUUCCCAGUAUUAGGAAUUCUUGGGAUACCUGCCAGUAACUCUGAUUCUAGCUUGAUGGGGACAAGCAAAAGUAGGGAAAGAUCUAAUCUAAGAUCUAAGACCUGAUUUCAGCAAAGAAUCCCUCUAGACAAGAACAACUACUUACGGGAAGGUUUCAGGAUGAAGAUAUUACAGCACGGUGGCAAUGUGCAAAAUGGAUUUAGUCCAUUUGAGUUGAACUAUUAAAAAUAUUUGUGAUUUAAAAUGCUCAGGCACUGAGACUUUCUUCACAGAAACAGAAUUUGCUAAAAUGAUCCCCCCUCAUGGUGGCAUGUGAGUUGUAAGGCGGUUGCAGUUAUUUGUACAAUGCUCCUCUGACUGUAAACUGUGUUCAUUAGCCUUAUGGCCUUCUAAUGAAUUCCUUUUAAAACAUGUGGCUACAAGACUGCUUUGAGAAUACAAGUUCCAAUCCUAGCCAAAGCCUUUUUGUAUUCCAAACUCCAUCUUGCACUCUUCAGUUAUCUGCAAAACUGUUUCUCUGCUUUUUGUUAACUACAAACCGCAUCUCUUCUGCUAUGCACUUGCACUCUGCUUCUUCUGUCCCUCUUAACUCUGCCUGGGGGAUGACAACUUGGAGCUUCAGCCCCAUCUUUUAAAAUAGAUUGCUCUGUCAGAAAAAUGCAUACAUCUCUUGGAUGCUAAACAUGCUUCUCCAGGUCGUGAGAAUGUUGCUUGCUGGGGCAUGGUCAGAUAGGACACUCCUUGCAGUUUAUUUUCAUUAACAGAGAAACUGGUAGAAGGAAAUGGUGUUGACUGAUAACCUAGAAAAAUCUUUUGUAUGAAAUUUUGGAGAGUUGAUCCACCUGCUGUGCUUAGGUCUGGGAUCAUUAAACAGAACAGUUUUCCCUCUUUGCAGACAUGCUAUUGCAGGCAGAAGAAUGGCCCAGCUUCUUCUGAAGGUCUGCAGAUAUGGGGUGAUUGUCUGCUGCCUGUCAGCUGCAGCAGCAUUUAAAUCUUUAGGGCAUGCAUUCACUUUCGUUCUUUGGAUACAGAAUCAAAGUCUAGAUAAUUUGUACCAUUAUUAAAAAGUUACUCUAAGUAAAUAACAAAGACACUGUUGCAAAGGGAAAUAGGCUUCUUGUCUUUUGUUUUAUGUUGGUCUUUGGGUUGUGCUAUCAUUAUGAUGCCUGAGUGCACAAGCACACUAAAUUAUGUGGGAUUUACAUACCAGGUGAUGAAUGACUUGGAUUCCUCCUCAUCCUCAUGCAUAUGCAGAGGAGCACUUACUUUGUUACAGACAUGCACAUAUUGUAUUGAUAUAUUCAAGAAGCAGAUUUGGUUUUGCAUUUGGCUGAGAAAGUGGUGACAUUUGCAGUUGUGUGGCCCAUUUCUUGUGAAUUCUGGUGUGAAAUAUGUUCCUGGUUGCAUGAAGCUGACAGAACUGAGCUACAGGCCUAACUGGCUUUAGCCUUCUGUAUAUCCCAUUAGUUUUUCUAGUUUUUAGGGAGGCAAAGCCCUCUCCCCCUUAUUGUCCCCUGUGGACAUAUUUAAGGGGAAUGCUAUUAAAAAGCAUCUCUAGAAAACUUUCCACACCUCUCCUUCUUCCUGCAGGGUUGGCCACAAGAGGGAACAAGCCAACUCAGCUUUCAGCAUGCCAUUGCUCAGAGCUAUGCUUGCCAAGGAAGGACCCCACAGGAUUUCACUAUUGUAGAGUAGAUGCAUUACUGGGAGAAAAGAGACGGCUUUUAUGGGGGCGAGGCUGUGCCUUCACUACUGCUCAGCCACUUGGGAAGUCUGUAAAAGCUUUCUGAAAUACCAAGCUCCUCCCAAAGCACCACUUGAUCCAGUGCAUUUUCAGAUUCAAAGUUAAGCCUUAAAACUUAUCCCUGUGCAAAGACCACCCAAAACUGGCUGGUUGUGCAACAAAUUUCUGUUUAUAAUUUAGUGCAAGGGUCAGAUAACUUUGCUAUGGUUCAGGUUAUCCACCCAGAGAAAGCAUGCUCUUUUGCUAAGCAUGGGAUGCAUGAGUCACUUCUAUUACCCAGACCUCUAGACAUAACAUAAAAUAGAUGGCAUGAAAUAGC